rnacentral:rRNA from 1 species
UACGUAGGUGGCAAGCGUUGUCCGGAUUUAUUGGGUUUAAAGGGUGCGUAGGCGGCCCUGUAAGUCAGUGCUGAAAUAUCCCAGCUUAACUGGGAAGGUGGCAUUGAUACUGCGGGGCUAGAGUACAGAUGAGGUAGGCGGAAUUGACGGUGUAGCGGUGAAAUGCUUAGAUAUCGUCAAGAACACCUAUAGCGAAGGCAGCUUACUAGGCUGUAACUGACGCUGAGGCACGAAAGUGUGGGGAUCAAACAGG